rnacentral:rRNA from 1 species
UACGUAGGGGGCAAGCGUUGUCCGGAUUUAUUGGGCGUAAAGAGCGUGUAGGCGGCCAGGUAGGUCUGCUGUGAAAACUCGAGGCUUAACCUCGAGCUGUCGGCGGAAACCAUCUGGCUAGAGUCCGGAAGAGGAGAAUGGAAUUCCCGGUGUAGCGGUGAAAUGCGCAGAUAUCGGGAAGAACACCUGAGGCGAAGGCGGGUUGCUGGGCCGACACUGACGCUGAGGCGCGAAAGCCAGGGGAGCGAACGGG